rnacentral:rRNA from 1 species
UACGAAGGGGGCUAGCGUUGUUCGGAAUUACUGGGCGUAAAGCGCGCGCAGGCGGCUCUUCAAGUCAGGGGUGAAAGCCCAGAGCUCAACUCCGGAACUGCCAUUGAAACUGUUGGACUUGAGUACGAGAGAGGUGAGUGGAAUUCCCAGUGUAGAGGUGAAAUUCGUAGAUAUUGGGAAGAACACCGGUGGCGAAGGCGGGUCUCUGGGGCAGUAACUGACGCUGAGGAGCGAAAGCGUGGGGAGCGAACAGG